GUGGAAUUGAUUUUAUGCUGACACAGGGUUGGGCAAAAGUAGGUUUAUAGUUGCAUUAUGACAUUCUUUUGAGUAAAUAGAGCUAUUGUGCUAAUCAUAACCUGCGUGCCUUUUUCCAUAUGAACAACAAUAAAGCUACUUUUGCCCAGCCCUGUAUAAAUGCUGCAAACUAAAGGGUUAUAUUGAAAGGGGCAGGGAAGGGGGGGUGACUUACAGUUCAGGAUCAAUAGCUAUAUUACCCUAAAAUCUUACCACUUUAAGUAGAGAUUUAUUGGACUUUUUAUAGCUUUUAAAAUGGAUAGAUUUAUCAAGUGCUUAAAUUUUAAAGUACA